AAGUAUGUGAACCACAAGAUAUACCCCUCUUUCUCUCUCUCUCUCUCUUCUCCUUCUCUCUCUUUUCUCUCCAUCGACAUCUCACACAAACACACGAGCACCACCAGCCACUGCCCCUCGGAUGAUGUUAGUUACACGAGCACCAAUCGAUUGAUUCCGAGCUUGGCAUUUGAUUUUAAUUCCGGGCCUUGGAUUAAUUCGUUUCAUUUCAACUUUAUGAUCUCAAGCAGCAAGGAUUCAUAGAGAGACAGGAGUUUAUGAGAUGGAAGAGUACAUCUUAUGUUUAAUGUUGUUGGGGACAUUGCUUGGUGCAAUGGCAAAAAGUUUGGGCUGUCAAGUGUAGUACACAGGUUCAAGUCUGAGAACAACUACUUCGUCCAAUUAAAGGUAAAGGUUAGGAACACUCAACAUGAACUUUUUCCAGUUUCUGCGGGAGAUUGAUGCUGCUCUAGUUGGAUGUGCUGUGUCUGUUGUAAACGAAUCUCUCUUUGUUUAUCUCAAGCUUCAAGGAACUCUUAAUGCAGAAGCAGAACGUGAAAAGCUCAAAAAGAUGGAAGAUAUACAAAAGCAAGUGUUUUUUCUCAACUGAAAACUGUUCAGCACUCUAUACAAGAUUGGACCAGACAACAGGUGGCCACCCUGUUUUGGCCAACAGUCAUAUGCAAUGGUCCUUGAGAUUCAACUUAGAGGCUAUGACAUCUAACUGAUGUAUGACUUUGGUCACACUGUUAUUAUGGUCCAAAGACAUCUUCUUGUGGAUAUCCUCUCUUAAGAUAGAUCAAGGUGCAUGUCCCUUGGGGAUUAUUGGGAUGAACCACCUUGGAAAAACACUAAUUGUAGUCGCCAAGGUUAGUAUACAAGUGUCAUGGUCCACCCAUGACUGUGGUGCCACCUGAAGGUGUCCUUCAGCUCUGUUUGGACCCUUGGUUAGUCUGUGAGAUGUAAUGAUGUUUUUAAUUGAAUUAAAACUAUUGUAUUUUUGAAAUUACUAUUAGCUGUGAUGCAAUCUUUUAAUGAAUUAGUUUUAGAUAUUUUUUUCCA